rnacentral:rRNA from 1 species
AUGAUGAAGGACAAGAUGAAGGAUCUCAUGAAGAAGGUCACCUCCUCCUCCGCCCCGUCCUUCAAGGGCCCCUCCCACGUCCUCGGCUCCGGCCCUCCCCCCUCCGCCUCCGCCUCCUCCUCCCGCCCCUCAAACCCUAACCCUAACCCCAGGCCCGCCCCCAAGCAGCAGCCCCCGCGCCCAUCCGCCCCCUCCGAAUUCACCCCCUUCACCGCCGUCAUCUCCUCCUCCUCCUCCCGCCGCCUAGAUGCCAACGGCGGCGACACCGUCGCGUGCCCCAGCUGCGGCGACGCCUUCUCCUCCGAGCACGCCGUCUCGGAGCACCUCGACGGCUGCCUCGCGUCGGCCGGCGGCGCCCGCGCCCGCGCGGCCACGUACCUCUCCGGCAACCCGCCCGCUGCGGCCGUCGAGGUCGUGAAGAAGCUUCUCGGCAACCUGCUCAAGGAGCCCGGCAACGACAAGUACAGGAGGGUCAGGCUCGGUAACCCUAGGAUCAAGGAGGCCGUGGCGGACAGGGAGGGCGGGCUUGAGCUCCUCGAGGCGGUCGGGUUCACGAUCGGGGAUGAGAGCGGGGAGCUCUUUGCCGUGAUGGACGAGACUCCUGCGGAAGCGAGGCUUAGCGGGAUCAGGCAGGCUGUGCUCCUACUUGAGAGGUCCCAUCCUUCGGCACCGCUACCGACGCUGUCCGGGUCUGAGUCCAAAGAGAGCUGCCGCAGCGGAGUCGAUGAGCAAAAGGAGGUUAACAAGAUUGUUGAUCGUCAGAUUCGGGUAUUCUUCAAUGUCCCUGGAAGUUCUGUUGCAGAAAUUGAUACACCGGAUUCUUUCUACAAACUUAGUGGCGAGGAGGUAAGGAAUGAGGCAAAGAUGAGGAGGGAAAGGCUGGAACAAUCUCGGUUGCUAAUUCCAAAGUCAUAUAAGGAGAAGCAGGCACUGGCUGCUCGACAGAAGUACAAACAAGCUGUCAUCCGAGUUCAGUUUCCUGAUGGAGUAAUUCUCCAGGGUGUAUUCCUUCCAUCGGAAGCUACUGGUUCACUAUAUGAGUUUGUCGCGGACGCUUUGAAGCAGCCAGGUUUGGAAUUUGAUCUUAUCUGUCCAGCUGUUCCUAGGUCACGUGUGCUACCACAUUCUCCAAAUACAGGAGAGCGGGCACGCACGUUGCAAGAUGAAGGCCUAGUACCUUCUGCUCUCCUCAAAUUCAAGCCCAAUGAGACUGAUUCUGUUGUGUUCACCGGCUUGCUUGACAAGCUUCUGGAGGCUAGUGAACCACUUACAGCUGCAUCCUCUUGA